rnacentral:lncRNA from 1 species
CUGGUCCACUAUAGGAGUAGGAUACUCAUCUAAAUGAAAUCUAUCGAUCCUGAUAGAGAAGAGUAGUCUUAUAAAAUUUGAGAGACUAAAUCCAAGAGCCUGUGGCCACAACAGUAUGAUUGAUGAAAAAGAGUUUUUAUGAGGAUUGUAAUUGGAUUUAAACUGAUCGAAUCAUCAUAUGACUGAUGAUGAGGUUUGAUGAUUUAUCAAUGACCUGCCAUCUAGUCGGAACUCACGAUAGAG